GCUGGGUAGAGUGGCGCACACCUGUAACCCCAGCACCUCAGGAGGCUGAGGCAGGAGAAUCACAAGUUCAAAGCCAGCCUCAGCAACUGUGAGGCGCUAAACAACUCAGUGAGACCCUGUCUCUA
rnacentral:sRNA from 1 species